rnacentral:rRNA from 1 species
UACGUAGGGGGCAAGCGUUGUCCGGAAUCAUUGGGCGUAAAGAGCGUGUAGGCGGCCCGAUAAGUCCGCUGUGAAAGUCCAGGGCUCAACCCUGGGAUGCCGGUGGAUACUGUCGGGCUCGAGUCCGGAAGAGGCGAGUGGAAUUCCUGGUGUAGCGGUGAAAUGCGCAGAUAUCAGGAGGAACACCGAUGGCGAAGGCAGGUCUCUGGGCCGAUACUGACGCUGAGGAGCGAAAGCGUGGGGAGCGAACAGG